rnacentral:lncRNA from 1 species
CGGGGGUCUGUUGUGUGGUGAGACAUUAUGGAUCAAGAGCACAUACUGAGGACUUUGGAAUAUAACAACUUGAUACAAGUGAGAUUUUCAAAACGUAUGAAGGAAUUGUGACAGUAUGCAAGAAAAAAGUGUUCUGGGGGAAUGUUAGGCUAACCCAACCCAGGUGUGACUUUCAAAGGCAGAGGGGUGGGUCAGUCGUUAGGACCAGCUGUGGGCAUGGGUUUAGGUUUAGAGGGCAGCUCAGCUUUUACUUUGGAUUUUGUAGAAGGGGCUGGAGAAACUGUGCUUGUCUGGAGCAUUUCUGCUGAUUAAGAGAGCUUUCUUUUAUCUCCAGAGGCUGAUCCCACUUAGACCCCUCCUAUGCCUGGUUUUGCCAUAAAUCCAGAACAAUAAUCCCCACUGUGCUGAAAUAUUCACAAGAGGAAUAUCACCGCUGUUAUUUAAGGAAUGCCACAAAAAAGAAGACAAGGAAAUGCGUGGAGCUCAAGUCUCGGGUGUGUUUGGGAAGAGGCAACAGCACAUCUGGGUACCUCACCCUGAGAAACCUGGGGGGCCGGGGAAGUGUAAGCCUGGCUGACACAGUGAAGUACCCAAUGAAGGAUGAGCUCUGUGUGUUUUACUUCUGGUUUAUGUUUCCAGCACUGUUCUGUUGUGACUUGUUGUGGUUAGAGCGAUUGUCUUUACAGAACUCAAGCUUUUCCCAUCCCAAGUGCAAGCCAGCCUGAAAAUGGAGAGCUAAUAAAAACCUUGUUCCGAAUUCA